UAGGCACAAUAAGAGAUUAACAAUGAUUGUA
rnacentral:piRNA from 1 species